UCUCAUCGUCAUGUCGCGCGCGAAUAACACGCAGUACACCAACCUUCAUAUUUUUCUUGGCACUAAGUACCGACGUACAUAUGUUGUGAAUGAUAUCGGCUGCUACUGCACAAAGAUAUAAUAGAAUUUUUUCAUUCCCUUAUUUAAAGAAUACACAUUUCUCUGCACAUAAGUAGACGACAAAAGAGCAAUAUUAGUUUCGUUAAACUUUGGAGGAAAACGCACAGAGUUGGCUACAGUGGCAAAAUGGCCAUCGUCGUUUCGGUAACGAUCAAGUUGCUGUAUGCGGCCUUAAAACCGGCAUUAUGCAUCAAAGAACCGCUAAGAUAAUAGCUAGAGCCAAAGUAAUCAAUCAGGUGCAAGCGUUUAGUGAAGUAGCAAGUGAAGUAGAUGGUUUCGAGUCUUCGGACAACUCUCUCGUGGAUUCAACUUACAAUUCAUCUUCCGGAGAAUCUGAGUCUGACGAAGAAAUUCAAGAAGAGGAAAUGUACAGAAGAAGAACGAAUCAAAUGAUGAGGACGGUGAAGCAAAUCAAAUAAUAGUUUGGACUAAAAACCACUCGGAACCUUUCGACGAAGUUCUAGUCAAAUUUCGACAAUCAUCUGUCCAACGAAUCCAACAAUUCACGAGAUCAGGAAGUAAUGACAUUGGCCUAUUCUUAAAUCUUUACCCUGCGUACAAGAAGGACAAUGGGUAUAUUCUGAUUCUUAAAGAUUUUGAACAGAUAUAUCCCGGGAAAGCCGACCGCUUGCUGCAGAAUUGGGAAUCUUUUGCUCCCAAGUUAAUAGACAGAGGAAUAUUUUUGGCAGACAAUUGCUCAGAGAUCGAACGAACUUUAAGAUCAUUGAACAUAAUUUUAGCUCCAAAAGAUGAUUGGGAACGAACCCUUCAUUCUUUGAUGUUGCUGCCAAUUUUGUUACCCAGUAAAAACGACAGGAAGUGGAAACCAAGCAGAAUUGAAUCAAAAGAUGGGUUCUUACUGUACGCUGAAACCAAUCAGGAAGCAAUCCAGAAGUUAGUAUUAAGGAAAAAGAUACUGCAGCAAAGUGGGUAUCCAGAGCAGCCCAUUCCAGUCGUAGUAGGUAAUGAAUGCAAUGUCUGCAUAGGCAAUAUAAUAUACAGAGUUGACACCCCACUAUUAGCACUGGAUAUUUGUUGCAAAUUGUAUUUCAUGCUAAAAAUCAAGCCACCGCCGGACACCUUAUUCUCAAUUUUGUUUUUACGGUGCUAUCUGUAUGAAAUAGAUCCGGAUGGUGCGUUAGAGUACCAAGGCUUAAGAACUUUGUUUCAUGACUUAACUUAUACGGAUCCAAAAUGAUGGUUUUUGCAUUCUGAUCCAAGUUCAUUUAAAGUUCCUCAUUGUACUUCUGCCAAAAUGGGUGUUCUUAUUUUGUUUUUUGUUAACUCUAUACUUUUCUCCUAGUCUAUUUUCUUUAAUUCUAGACUUUUUUAUUUUUUCGUUAAUUAUCUUUACCAGUGUGUAUUA
rnacentral:lncRNA from 1 species